rnacentral:rRNA from 1 species
AGCGAACGCUGGCGGCAGGCCUAACACAUGCAAGUCGAACGAGACCUUCGGGGCUAGUGGCGGACGGGUGAGUAACACGUGGGAACGUGCCUUUAGGUUCGGAAUAACUCAGGGAAACUUGUGCUAAUACCGAAUGUGCCCUUCGGGGGAAAGAUUUAUCGCCUUUAGAGCGGCCCGCGUAUGAUUAGCUAGUUGGUGUGGUAAUGGCUCACCAAGGCUACGAUCCGUAGCUGGGCUGAGAGGAUGAUCAGCCACAUUGGGACUGAGACACGGCCCAAACUCCUACGGGAGGCAGCAGUGGGGAAUCUUGGGCAAUGGGCGAAAGCCUGACGCAGCCAUGCCGCGUGUAUGAUGAAGGUCUUAGGAUUGUAAAAUACUUUCACCGGUGAAGAUAAUGACUGUAGCCGGAGAAGAAGCCCCGGCUAACUUCGUGCCAGCCGCCGCAGUAAAAC